rnacentral:lncRNA from 1 species
UUGGGGCUGUGUUAAUUUUUAAGCUGAUGCUACCUCAGGGGCUGCAGAUGCAGAAGAAGCAGAUAGAGGGAAAGAAUGGCUCAUGACUCAAGGAGGGCUUUGUGGGCUGGCAGUGAUACAGGGAAAGGAGAAAUUAUGUCAAACUGCAUUUAACCAAGAAAAUUUGUAAAUACAUUUUUCUGCCUGAGAAUGAGUACACAGUUUGAGGAAGAGCACGUUCAUUUCUUUAUCUUCAGAAUUAAAUUGAGUGCUCAAAAAAAAGCCUAUGAGCUGCAAUUUGACGAAACAAAGAUUAUACCUUUAAACCAACGAGGUGUGGAAGUAGUUUUAAAUAAGGAGAAAGAUAGCAAUCUUAUUCCAGUGAAUCUUGGCCCAUGGGAUGGAAGAAGCUCAUGACUGUAUCUUGGAAAGGAGUAUUUCUGACUAAAUUCUGAGAAGAAAUGCAUGGCUACUGGGUUAGCCAUGUACUGCUAUGACCAAGUUAAAAAAAAAAAUCAAAAUCCAAAAACAAGAAUAUUUUUUGGUAAGAAGUGGGGAAACAUGAGACUGUGGACUCAAAUGUGCUUGUGUUUGUGGAAAGAAACACUGCAGGGAUGCAAGAUGGGAGGGAG